rnacentral:rRNA from 1 species
CGUGGUACAAUGCGAAGCGAAGCAGUGAUGUGAAGCAAAUCGCACCAAAGCCAGUCCCAGUUCGGAUAAGAGGCUGAAACUCGCCUCUUUGAAGUCGGAAUCGCUAGUAAUCGCAGAUCAGCAUGUUGCGGUGAAUACGUUCCCGGGUCUUGUACACACCGCCCGUCAAACCAUGAGAGUCACCAACACCCGAAGUCCGCCUUGGCGGCCUAAGGUGGGGGAGAUGAUUGGGGUUAAGUCGUAACAAGGUAUC